AGUUACCCUUCAAACCCACUGUGAACGUUACCUCUUGCCGUUGCCUCGGCGGGAGGUCUGGGCGGCCCGCCGCCCCGGCCCCCGCCGGCAGCGCCAGACUCUUACUUUGAAAGCAACCUCUGAUUUAUCUUGAAAACAAGUCAAAACUUUCAACAACGGAUCUCUUGGUUCUGGCAUCGAUGAAGAACGCAGCGAAAUGCGAUAAGUAAUGUGAAUUGCAGAAUUCAGUGAAUCAUCGAAUCUUUGAACGCACAUUGCGCCCGGCAGCAAUCUGCCGGGCAUGCCUGUCCGAGCGUCAUUUCUGCCCUCGAGCGCGGUUGCCUCUGGCGCUGCCGCCCGGUGUUGGGGCUCUGCGGUCACGCAGUCCCCGAAAUGAAGUGGCGGUCCCGCCGCGGCGCCCCCUGCGUAGUACAACGCCUCGCAUCGGGUCCCGGCGACGGCCAGCCGUCGAGCCUAUCUUUUGAUGGUUUGACCUCGGAUCAGGUAGGGUUACCCGCUGAACUUAAGCAUAUCAAUAA
rnacentral:sRNA from 1 species